rnacentral:rRNA from 1 species
CAGUUCGGAUUGAAGGCUGAAAUUCGCCUUCAUGAAGCUGGAAUUGCUAGUAAUGGCAGGUCAGCAUACUGCCGUGAAUACGUUCCCGGGCCUUGUACACACCGCCCGUCACACCAUGAGAGUUGGGAAUACCCGAAGCCUGUGAGCUAACUGUAAGGAGGCAGCAGUCGAAGGUAGAAUCAAUGAUUGGGGUGAAGUCGUAACAAGGUACC